rnacentral:misc_RNA from 1 species
AACGCACCUUGCGCCCCUUGGCAUUCCGAGGGGCACACCCGUUUGAGUGUCGUGAAAUUAUCAAAAACCCUUUUCUGUUUACUGAAAAGGAUUUUUGGACUUGGAGGUUUAAUGCUUGCCUUUCACAUUUGAAAGUGAGCUCCUCUCAAAUGAAUUAGUGGGGUCCGCUUUGUCGGUCCUUGACGUGAUAAGAUGUUUCUACGUUUUGGAUUUGGCACUGUCCCUUUGGAUUCCUGCUCCUAACUGUCCAACGGACAAACGAUGGUGCUCCGGUCGCCUCCGUCUACAUUGGCGGGGGGGAGGGCUGGACCCACAAAAGAAAACCUUGACCUCAAAUCGGGUGAGACUACCCGCUGAACUUAA